UGAGCAAUCUGCCCUUCACAUCGGAAUAACCAUUGGAAACGAUGGCUAAUGCCGAAUAUGACUUCGGAUCGCAUGAUCUGAAGUGGAAAGCUCCGGCGGUGAAGGAUGAGCUCGCGGCCUAUCAGCUUGUUGGUGAGGUAAUAGCUCACCAAGGCGACGACGGGUAGCCGGCCUGAGAGGGUGACCCGGCCACACUGGAACUGAGAUACGGUCAGA
rnacentral:rRNA from 1 species